CCCAGAAAGGAUACUGAAGAUGAUGCCACCAAAACAGGCCGAGAACGCCAUCCGCGGGUAGCCCUGGCGGGCCAGCGUGAGAUCUGAGAAGACAUCUGCGUGGAAACACGAGAAGGCCUUGAGGGGCAACUCUGAGGGUGUGACAUGCCACCACCAAUCUUUCACCCAUGUCCCGUCUGCUGCUAGCACACACAGCACCUCGGGGCAAAUGAGGAAAAGGGGCCCAAAAAGGCCAGCAGCGUGAGCCCGAGGACAGUGUUGCUCAGCCGGAAGACCACACCCAGGGACCGUAAGACGUUCACCACCUCCGUGGCAGCUGCGUUGAUCCACAGGGCGCUGGUCAGGAAGCCCAGGAAAGCAAAGAGCUGG